rnacentral:sRNA from 1 species
AAGUCGUAACAAGGUCUCCGUUGGUGAACCAGCGGAGGGAUCAUUACCGAGUUUACAACUCCCAAACCCCUGUGAACAUACCUUACUGUUGCCUCGGCGGAUCAGCCCGCUCCCGGUAAAACGGGACGGCCCGCCAGAGGACCCCUAAACUCUGUUUCUAUAUGUAACUUCUGAGUAAAACCAUAAAUAAAUCAAAACUUUCAACAACGGAUCUCUUGGUUCUGGCAUCGAUGAAGAACGCAGCAAAAUGCGAUAAGUAAUGUGAAUUGCAGAAUUCAGUGAAUCAUCGAAUCUUUGAACGCACAUUGCGCCCGCCAGUAUUCUGGCGGGCAUGCCUGUUCGAGCGUCAUUUCAACCCUCAAGCCCUCGGGUUUGGUGUUGGGGAUCGGCGAGCCUUUCUGGCAAGCCGGCCCCGAAAUCUAGUGGCGGUCUCGCUGCAGCCUCCAUUGCGUAGUAGUAAAACCCUCGCAACUGGAACGCGGCGCGGCCAAGCCGUUAAACCCCCAACUUCUGAAUGUUGACCUCGGAUCAGGUAGGAAUACCCGCUGAACUUAAGCAUAUCAAUAAGCGGAGGAAAAGAAACCAACAGGGAUUGCCCUAGUAACGGCGAGUGAAGCGGCAACAGCUCAAAUUUGAAAUCUGGCCUCGGCCCGAGUUGUAAUUUGCAGAGGAAGCUUUAGGCGCGGCACCUUCUGGGUCCCCUGGAACGGGGCGCCAUAGAGGGUGAGAGCCCCGUAUAGUUGGAUGCCUAGCCUGUGUAAAGCUCCUUCGAC